rnacentral:rRNA from 1 species
AUCUUGACAUCCUUUGAAAACUCUAGAGAUAGAGCCUUCCCCUUCGGGGGACAAAGUGACAGGUGGUGCAUGGUUGUCGUCAGCUCGUGUCGUGAGAUGUUGGGUUAAGUCCCGCAACGAGCGCAACCCUUAAGCUUAGUUGCCAUCAUUAAGUUGGGCACUCUAGGUUGACUGCCGGUGACAAACCGGAGGAAGGUGGGGAUGACGUCAAAUCAUCAUGCCCCUUAUGAUUUGGGCUACACACGUGCUACAAUGGACAAUACAAAGGGCAGCUAAACCGCGAGGUCAUGCAAAUCCCAUAAAGUUGUUCUCAGUUCGGAUUGUAGUCUGCAACUCGACUACAUGAAGCUGGAAUCGCUAGUAAUCGUAGAUCAGCAUGCUACGGUGAAUACGUUCCCGGGUCUUGUACACACCGCCCGUCACACCACGAGAGUUUGUAACACCCGAAGCCGGUGGAGUAACCAUUUAUGGAGCUAGCCGUCGAAGGUGGGACAAAUGAUUGGGGUGAAGUCUAAAAGGGGGAG